rnacentral:sRNA from 1 species
CAAUUUAGCUUUCCGGCUACACUUGUUUCCUACUAAGUCUCAAAAAAACAAGGUAUCUAAGGCAACUCAAGCCAGGCACCAAAACACCAGUACCAUCAUCUUCAGUCUUCUACCAGAGAGCAGCUACUUGGGUUUGAUCAAAAAUCCUGGUGUCUCACGUUUUCAGGUGGGCAGAGUUGCCAUAGCAAGAGCCCUAAGUCAAAACAUUUAUCCUAACAUCGGUGAUGAUGUAGAAAUUGGCCUAAAUGGCGUCAUAAUUCUCAAGAAAAGGUCUGAGAUCCAGGGAGACGUUUUUGCAAAUUGUCAGAAAUUAUACCCAAGAUUUUUCUGUGUACUUGUAUUUUCACAGAUGAGAACCGACAACUUGACAAUUUCAACCAAAAUGAGAGAAUAUCCUUGUGUCUAUAUGGAUGUGCACCUGUCAAUAAUAAAUCCGAUUGAUGGCCUAUGGCUUAGGCAAGAAAUAGGAAGUGGAACAUCCAGGAGGCAGAAAGAAUUCUGGGAUAGAGCCAAAUACCAGAAGAUUCGCCCAGACGAAUGUGACCAGACAGAAGCACGGUAACUGAGCACAGCCUAAAGCCCUUCCAAUUUUAGAGUUUUCUUACGGAAGAGCAUCACUGAAUAAAAUCUGUACUCACGAUCUAUUGCUGCAGAACAGUUACUUCGAACUUUGAGCUAUCUUCAGGCCACUCAGCACACUUGGCACUGGCCUUGUCUUCUCCCUGUGGCUAGCAGCAGCUGUGAGGUAUCUAUCGCUAAGGUGCUCAGCCAGCAGAUGUGGAGGACAGAGCAUUCUGCAGCUGUGACUCUUGUGAAUGCAUGUGAGGGUUUCAGAAAUAAAUGAUACAUUUCUAAAUAGCAAGUGUGUGUCAUUAUGUGGCUAUUAGUCUUAAGCCUUUAAACAUUCUGUCAUUGAGGAUCUCCCUUUGACUCCCUAUGACUUUCUGGUCCUGGGAACCUCCUCUAAAAAACUUCAGACAAGACACACAGAGCAUAGUGUAGAAGAUAGGUAGAGCCUUCUCAGGGGCUGAGAGUGGACAGGGGCCAAGAGGACCUUUGUAAGCAAUGCCCACUCUUAAGGGGUGACUGUUGGACAACAGCCAAGGAGAACAUUAUGCUGAUCUAAAAAUUUGGCAGGUUUUAGCCUGUUUCUAAAGUCUCUAGAAAAGACUGCUUUUCCUGUGGUGUGAGUUUUCUAUCCAAGUGAUUGACAGGUCCACUUGGAUUGAUUUUUACAGGAGGGAACAAUGAUAAGUACCAGAAAGCCUGCUGCUAAACAUUAAUUUCACAAAACUUAGUUAUCUAAUAAUAACCUCCCAGGAAGUUUAGAAUAGCAAUGUCUCUAACUAGGGCCGGAGAUAGGGCUCAGAUCUCAUUCUUUUGACCUGUAAUCAGAGAUUUGCA